ensembl:rRNA 5S_rRNA 5S ribosomal RNA
GUGUACAGCCAUACAACCCUGAACGCACCCAAUCUUGUCUGAUCUCAGAAGCUAAGCAGGGUCGGGUCUGGUUAGUACUUGGAGGGGAGAAAACAAAAAAAUCAGAUGUAUUUU